GAUGAACGCUGACAGAAUGCUUAACACAUGCAAGUCUUUGGCGAAGCUGUGCUUGCACAGCCUAGCCAAGGCGGACGGGUGAGUAACGCGUAAGGAACUUGCCCUGCAGUCAGGGAUAACAGACGGAAACGACUGAUAAGACCUGGUAAAGUCAGGCGGACUCAUGUCCAGCCUGAUGAAAAGAGAUGCUGCAGGAGAGCCUUGCGUCCUAUUAGCUUGUUGGUGGGGUAACGGCCCACCAAGGCGAUGAUAGGUAGCCGGCCUGAGAGGGUGGACGGCCACAAGGGGAAUGAGAUACGGCCCUUACUACGACGGGAGGCAGCAGUGGGGAAUAUUGGACAAUGGGGGCAACCCUGAUCCAGCAAUUCUGUGUGCACGAUGAAGGUUUUCGGAUUGUAAAGUGCUUUCAGCAGGGAAGAAAAAAUGACGGUACCUGCAGAAGAAGCGACGGCUAAAUACGUG
rnacentral:rRNA from 1 species